AAUCAAACUAUGUCAUCUAAAAAAGGGUUAAGUUAGAACAGGUGAAAUAGAUCCCUGAGCUAGCAAUGAUUUCUUUCUGAUAGUCCCAGAUUGCUGAUGGGCUAGAAACAAAAUUUUGGGAGUCAGAAUUUUAAAAUGGCACUUAAAGCUUUAAGAUUAAAUGUAAUCUCUAGGGAAGAAGAGCAGAGCACCUAGGACCAAGUUUUAAGAGAAAUUGGGAGCAUUUAAUAUCUAUGUAGAGGAAUUGCCAUUGCAAAGGAGACUGAGAAGUAACCAAGGUAGCAUGGAAGUCAAGAGAACAUUUCGAAAAGGAGGGGGAGUGCUCAGUGUCAACUUUUACACAGGAAGUGAGCGGCCAUGUUGUGAGGACAUGCAAGCAGUCUAUGGAGAGGUCCAGGCAUGAGAAACUAAGGACUCCAGCCAACAGCCAGCAUUAACCUGCCAACCAAGUGAGGAGCCACCUUGGGAUCAGGUCUCCAGCAGCCCCAGUCAUGACAGAGCCUAAGCCAGAACCACCCAGCUAAGCUGCUUCCAAAUUCCUGACCCACUGAAACGGUGACAAGUGAGGCAGAGCUGAAUGGGAAACUACUUGUGGAUGAAAAUGAAUCUCAGAUUACAGUCAUGUAGAACAAGGCUCCUGCUGGCCCAUAGCUUCACAGAACUCAGCAGCCCCUGCUCUGGGCAACAGGACGGAUCUACACAGGUGUGGCUGGACUACACAGAAAUCCCGGAGUGUGACCUCCAAUGUCUUGAAUUCCUGCUUCCAGUUGAAGAACAAAGACACAGCCCUGCUGGGAAUGUAGGUUCCUGAGGACUCCUGCAUGUGGAUCCUGCUUGC